rnacentral:rRNA from 1 species
GUGGGGAAUAUUGCACAAUGGGCGAAAGCCUGAUGCAGCAACGCCGCGUGAAGGAAGAAGGGUUUCGGCUCGUAAACUUCUAUCAACAGGGACGAAACAAAUGACGGUACUGAAUAAGAAGCCCCGGCUAACUACGUGCCAGCAGCCGCGGUAAUACGUAGGGGGCAAGCGUUAUCCGGAAUUACUGGGUGUAAAGGGUGAGUAGGCGGCAUGGUAAGUUAGAUGUGAAAGCCCGAGGCUUAACCUCGGGAUUGCAUUUAAAACUAUCAAGCUAGAGUACAGGAGAGGAAAGCGGAAUUCCUAGUGUAGCGGUGAAAUGCGUAGAUAUUAGGAAGAACACCAGUGGCGAAGGCGGCUUACUGGACUGUAACUGACGUUGAGGCUCGAAAGCGUGGGGAGCAAACAGGAUUAGAAACCCGGGUAGUCC